CAGCAGGCGCGAAAACUUUACAAUGCGGGAAACCGUGAUAGGGGAACUCUGAGUGCCCGUUAAAUCGGGCUGUCCACCAGUUUAAACAACUGGUGAAGAAAGGGCCGGGCAAGACCGGUGCCAGCCGCCGCGGUAAUACCGGCGGCUCGAGUGGUGGCCACUAUUACUGGGCUUAAAGCGUUCGUAGCUGGUUUGUUAAGUCUCUGGGGAAAUCUUCCGGCUCAACCGGAAGGCGUCUCAGGGAUACUGGCAGACUAGGGACCGGGAGAGGUGAGGGGUACUCCAGGGGUAGGAGUGAAAUCCUGUAAUCCUUGGGGGACCACCUGUGGCGAAGGCGCCUCACCAGAACGGCUCCGACAGUGAGGGACGAAAGCUGGAGGAGCAAACCGGAUUAGAUACCCGGGUAGUCCCAGCCGUAAACGAUGCGCGUUAGGUGUAUCGGUGACCACGAGUCACCGAGGUGCCGAAGAGAAAUCGUGAAACGUGCCGCCUGGGAAGUACGGUCGCAAGGCUGAAACUUAAAGGAAUUGGCGGGGGAGCAC
rnacentral:rRNA from 1 species